rnacentral:rRNA from 1 species
AUGCUUGCUUUAAGGGUCUUCCCUUUUCUUUAUAGUACAUAUAGUGUGAAACUAAAAGGGUCCGCCUGGUCAAUAAGUGUCCCACCUCACCACACCUCCAUGACCGCGUCUCCCACCUCACCUCCCACUCCCCCCACCGCCGAUCGCCACUUUCUCCGCACGAACUACGCCGACGGCGAGCUCUCGGUGGCGACGAGCGCUCGGCCCCGCUUGCUCGAUCGCUCAGGCCUAGGAAUCGGUUUGGGAAUCGUGCUCAACGACCCAGAUCUGAUUAGGGAUGAGCGAAACACCGAGGGGUCGGGGGGCAUCGACAGAAGAUUUGGAGGCGCUCCUGAAGACGGCGAACAGGCUGGAGAAGGCGGCGGUAAGGGCGGCGGAGAAGGCGAGGAAUGCGAAGCUGGUCCUCGUCGAGCAGAUUCUGGCGAGGGUGACAGAGGAAGAGAGCGAGCGAUUAUUUUGAUUGGGCUCAACUCUAGAGCCGGAGCAGGUGCUGGAUUGGGCGGCAGAGGAAGCCGCGUCGACAUCGAGGAUUCAGAGGGCGAGAUGGAGAUUAUUCCGGCGAGACCCCUGGUAAGCUCUGGGCAACUGGGGGAGGUGUUGAUUGGAGAGGUCUCCGUUCAGUUGGUUCGAUUGGAACCACGAGCAAGCUCUCCCUGUCGUCCCUCCCCGUUCCGGGCGUCUCCGGCGAGGGCACGAGCUUGCAGGCGAGCAGCUGCGGUGCGGGAUUCGGCCAGAGCUGCUGGUCGGUGGGCCCCGGGUGUCAGCGUGGGGGAGCAGAAGACGGGAGUGGGAGACUGUUUUCGACAGGAGAAAGCACACUCUCAAAAACUGCUUUCUCAGGAUGGUGAGGAGGUAGUUGAGGUAUUUGGGCAGCUGUGGUCUGUGCCGUCUCCAAGAAAGGCUAGGGUUCCGCCACCAGGAGGGGGGCUGGUCUAG